rnacentral:rRNA from 1 species
CCUACGGGAGGCAGCAGUGGGGAAUAUUGCGCAAUGGGCGAAAGCCUGACGCAGCGACGCCGCGUGAGGGAUGAAGGUCUUCGGAUCGUAAACCUCUGUCAGCAGGGAAGAACGGUCACUGUGCUAAUCAGCAGUGAAUUGACGGUACCUGCAAAGGAAGCACCGGCUAACUCCGUGCCAGCCGCCGCGGUAAUACGGAGGGUGCGAGCGUUAGUCGGAAUUACUGGGCGUAAAGCGCUCGUAGGCGGUAUGUCAAGUCAAGGGUGAAAUCCCCGCGCUCAACGUGGGAACUGCCUUUGAAACUGGCAAACUGGAGUGUGUGAGAGGAGAGGGGAAUUCCAGGUGUAGGAGUGAAAUCCGUAGAUAUCUGGAGGAACAUCAGUGGCGAAGGCGACUAUCUGGCACAUAACUGACGCUGAGGAGCGAAAGCGUGGGUAGCAAACAGGAUUAGAUACCCGUGUAGUC